AUUGAACGCUGGCGGCAUGCUUUACACAUGCAAGUCGAACGGCAGCGCGGGCUUCGGCCUGGCGGCGAGUGGCGAACGGGUGAGUAAUGCAUCGGAACGUGCCCAGUAGUGGGGGAUAGCCCGGCGAAAGCCGGAUUAAUACCGCAUACGACCUGAGGGUGAAAGCGGGGGACCGAAAGGCCUCGCGCUAUUGGAGCGGCCGAUGUCGGAUUAGCUAGUUGGUGGGGUAAAGGCUUACCAAGGCGACGAUCCGUAGCUGGUCUGAGAGGACGACCAGCCACACUGGGACUGAGACACGGCCCAGACUCCUACGGGAGGCAGCAGUGGGGAAUUUUGGACAAUGGGGGCAACCCUGAUCCAGCCAUGCCGCGUGCGGGAAGAAGGCCCUCGGGUUGUAAACCGCUUUUGUUCGGGAAGAAAUCCUCUGGGCUAACACCCCGGGGGGAUGACGGUACCGGAAGAAUAAGCACCGGCUAACUACGUG
rnacentral:rRNA from 1 species